UAGCGAUAUAGUAGUACACGAUAGCAUCAUGAAAUAUGGACUUGCUUUUGUGUAUUUCAAAAUUUAGAAAAUAUAUAAAACUACAGUAUACAGAUUCGCAUCUACAGAGCUGUACUGACAAUUUAUAUAAGUGAGAGGUUUGGAAUACAGACAAAGUGCAUAAAGACCUUCCAUCAACGCUGUCUUAGAACGCUGUAUUGUUAAAAGAAUAUCGAUGUUCUCAGGACUGGCGAAUACUACUGAUUUGGAGUGUUGCAUAACAUCUGUGAGACUCCAUUGGUCUGGACUUGUUUUGAGAAUUCCAUAUAUCGGACUUACUAAUUAAUAUCUUUUGAGAUGGACUCUUACCUAAUGUACUCAUUCUACUUUAAUGAAAAAAAAAGAUCACAGUGCAGAUUAAAAACAAAAGAAUUUUGAUUGAAUGUUGCCAACGAGGAUGUUUUUAUUGAAAAUUGAUCAGAACAAGCUACCGUAUUAACCGAAAAUCGUUGAGGAUCCUGAGACUUGAUCAAGCUGAUAUCGACAACCAGUCACCUUAUGAAAAGACUGCUGAAACUUUAGAUAUUUUGAAACCAAGCCUUGUAUUGUGAGAUGAAAUCAUUGUUUGACCUAAACCUGGAAUUUAAAGUACAAACCUAGCAUUAAUACUUUCUACUUUAUAGUGUGUAAUUUAAUUGCUGUGCAAGGACAAUGAAGUAUACAUAUUACAUAUUGUGCAAUUCUUAAAAAUUGCUUAGGAAAAAUAUUUUGUUGGCCCCCUCAGAGAAUUAACUACUUUAAUUAUAGUAAAAUGACAUGCAGCAUUUUAUAGGCUAACAAAUAUUUACUACCCCUAUUUCAUGAUGUCACUGUAAUUAUGAAAUCUAUGCAAUUAAUUAUGAAGUAUCAUUAUUUUAUUUAAAUUAUCUAACCAUCUUAUAUCUCUGAUCACGGAUUAAUAUGCCAUUGGUAGAACUAUGUUUAUUGCAGAGGAGUUGAAUAGCUUGGUGGUUAAGUUAAGUGAAUUUCUACACUAAUAAUUUUGUGUUCAGUUAUGUGUGUUAAAGUGAAAAAUAUCGUCGCAAACAAUGUUUUGGUUUUAUAUUCCGUAAAACAAGGGGGGAUUUUAAUGAUAUUGUAUGUACAGUAGUGAAAUGUUGAUAUGAUACAAAAACAUACACAUUAUAGAGUAGUACAGUACUUUGAAAUAUUCAAUACAAGAACAUCACUCAAGAUUAGUAACAUAAUUAAAUUUCUUCUAGAAGCUUCAUACUGCAUAUCACUGAAUUAAUGCACUGUAUCAUAGUAAUGAAAACUUUUGGAAUUUACAGUAUGUCUGUUUUUUUAAUCAUUUUAAAUGACCAACCAAUGUUUUACAUUAUUUUAAAAAAAAUAUUGUUCACAUUUUAUGCUAAAUUAUCUGUAUAUUAUACAAAUAUUUUGUAAUUAUAUUGUAUUAUAAUGCAUGUUUUCCCAGUCAGCGAUAAGAAGCUCACCACAAAUUUGCUAUCCAUGUUUUAAAUCUUGUUCAGUGGACAGAUCUUUUGUAAUCUACAUUUUUUCAAUUAUUUCUAUUGAUAUAUUUUAUUAUUAUUAUUAUUGUUUUGUUAUUAAUAAUAUUAUGGUGUGAAUUAUAUUUAGUAUAGUAUAGUAGUAAUUCAAUGAAGCAGUCUUCUCAGGUUUUGCUUAAUAAUUUUAUCUUUAGUAAUGCGCAAGAAAAGAAACAAAACUGGAACCUUUGUUUUACUGUACUAAUACAAGUUAUGUAUAAAAUCCUAUUACUGUGCAAUGUUUCUUCAGUGCAAUAUUCAGCUCAUCACCAUAAAUGCUUGGUUAAGUUACCUCUUUAUAUUAGUGACACAUCUCUGUAUCAAAUUAAAUUCUCAAUGUUCUUGAUGCUUAAUUUUACUGUAAGAAUCACUGAGGUUAAACAAUACUAAACUUAAUUAUUAAUUGUAGUUGUUUUCUUAUAAUUUCUAGGGCAAGAAAUAUACAGUAUAUUUUUUAUUAACAGUCGACUUCAGUGAAUAUAUUAGUAUAAACCUCCAGUAUAUUAACUUUGUAGUUUCAGCACUUGGCAUUCAUUUGUAUAAAUAUGUUAUUAUAUUAUUAUAUAAUUGUGACUGCAAAGGUAAUAAAUAUUAAUCUAAG